rnacentral:rRNA from 1 species
AGCGAACGCUGGCGGCAGGCCUAAUACAUGCAAGUCGAGCGGGUCCUUCGGGAUUAGCGGCGGACGGGUGAGUAACGCGUGGAACGUGCCCUUUGGUACGGAACAACUGAGGGAAACUUCAGCUAAUACCGUAUGUGCCCUUCGGGGAAAGAUUUAUCGCCAUUGGAGCGGCCCGCGUUGGAUUAGGUAGUUGGUGAGGUAAAGGCUCACCAAGCCUACGAUCCAUAGCUGGUCUGAGAGGGAUGACCAGCCACACUGGGACUGAGACACGGCCCAGACUCCUACGGGAGGCAGCAGUAGGGAAUCUUGCGCAAUGGGCGAAAGCCUGACGCAACCAUGCCCGCGUGAAUGGAUGAAGGUCUUAGGAUUGUAAA